CUACGGGGCGCUCCAGUGGGGAAUAUUGCACAAUGGACGAAAGUCUGAUGCAGCAACGCCGCGUGGAGGAUGACACAUUUCGGUGCGUAAACUCCUUUUAUAUAGGAAGAUAAUGACGGUACUAUAUGAAUAAGCACCGGCUAACUCCGUGCCAGCAGCCGCGGUAAUACGGAGGGUGCAAGCGUUACUCGGAAUCACUGGGCGUAAAGGGCGUGUAGGCGGGUAGUUAAGUCAGAAGUGAAAUCCAAUAGCUCAACUAUUGAACUGCUUUUGAAACUGAUUACCUAGAAUAUGGGAGAGGUAGAUGGAAUUUCUGGUGUAGGGGUAAAAUCCGUAGAGAUCAGAAGGAAUACCGAUUGCGAAGGCGAUCUACUGGAACAUUAUUGACGCUGAGACGCGAAAGCGUGGGGAGCAAACAGGAUUAGAUACCCGUGUAGUC
rnacentral:rRNA from 1 species